rnacentral:tRNA from 1 species
GGAGUUGUGGCUCAGCAGUAGAGCAUUCUCCUAGCACGUGUGAGGCCCUGAGUUCGAUUCUCAACACCA